GCCGGAAUGGCGCAGUGGUAACGCGUACGUGCCUAGUAUGCGAAGAUCCCUAGUUCAAUUCUGGGUUUCGGCA
rnacentral:tRNA from 1 species